GAGUUUGAUCUUGGCUCAGAUUGAACGCUGGCGGCAGGCCUAACACAUGCAAGUCGAGCGGAUGACGGGAGCUUGCUCCUUGAUUCAGCGGCGGACGGGUGAGUAAUGCCUAGGAAUCUGCCUGGUAGUGGGGGACAACGUUUCGAAAGGAACGCUAAUACUGCAUACGUCCUACGGGAGAAAGCAGGGGACCUUCGGGCCUUGCGCUAUCAGAUGAGCCUAGGUCGGAUUAGCUAGUUGGUGGGGUAAUGGCUCACCAAGGCGACGAUCCGUAACUGGUCUGAGAGGAUGAUCAGUCACACUGGAACUGAGACACGGUCCAGACUCCUACGGGAGGCAGCAGUGGGAAUAUUGGACAAUGGGCGAAAGCCUGAUCCAGCCAUGCCGCGUGUGUGAAGAAGGUCUUCGGAUUGUAAAGCACUUUAAGUGGGAGGAAGGCAGUAAGUUAAUACCUUGCUGUUUGACGUUACCGACAGAAUAAGCACCGGCUAACUCUGU
rnacentral:rRNA from 1 species